AAUCAACGCUGGCGGCGUGCCUAACACAUGCAAGUCGAGCGCGAAAGGGGAGCAAUCCCCAAGUAGAGCGGCGAACGGGUGAGUAACGCGUGGGUAAUCUGCCUCCGAGUGGGGAACAACACCGGGAAACUGGUGCUAAUACCGCAUGACAUCGUUGGACCUUCGGAUCUGACGAUCAAAGCCGGGGACCGCAAGGCCUGGCGCUUGGAGAGGAGCCCGCGUCCGAUUAGCUAGNGGUUGGGGUAAUGGCCCACCAAGGCUACGAUCGGUAGCCGGCCUGAGAGGGGCGGACGGCCACACUGGGACUGAGACACGGCCCAGACUCCUACGGGAGGCAGCAGUGGGGAAUCUUGCGCAAUGGGCGAAAGCCUGACGCAGCGACGCCGCGUGAGGGAUGACGGCCU
rnacentral:rRNA from 1 species